rnacentral:lncRNA from 1 species
GCAAAUUCAAUACUCAUAAUAAAUACACAAAGAUAACUAAAAACAUUAUUAAACCAGAUCCAGUAUGCAGCAUACAAGAAAAAGGGGGUAUUUCAAGGAGUAGAACGAGAAGGUGGUGGAGAAAAGGAAGGAAUAGAGGGAACUGCAGUUGGGAUUGAGGGAAUGCUUGGCAGAGGCGGCAGUCCUCUUGGCAAUGUGGUAGGAAGUGGAGGAAGCGCCCCAGGGUUUGUGAGAUUAGGGAUAGAUGGCAAUGGCGGAAAAGAGAAAGGAAUAGGGGGAAUUGCAGUUGGGAUUGUGGGGACUGAGGGAAUGCUUGGCAGAGGGGGCAGUCCUGUUGGGAAUGUGGUAGGAAGUGGAGGAAGCGCCCCAGGCCAUGAGAAUGAUGGUCGGGAUGGCGUUGGGAGAUUAGGGAAAGAUGGUAAACUUUGCGUUCGAGGCUGCUGCAGAAGGUGACGAGCUGCUACCCCAACAUCAAUGCUUGCAAAUGACAAAGCAAUCAAGAAUGCUAAAGCAAAGCAAUUGAAAGAGGCCAUUUUUGUUCAAAGAUUUCGAAACAAAUGAAGCAGAUGAAACGAAGUUCUUUAUCUGAAUAGUUGUGAGUGAGGAAAACAAAGCAUGGUAUUGAGGUUUAUAUAGGCAUUGGAGUAGUGAAUAGAAAUCCCCUGCCCCUAAACAAUGCCCCAUGCAUGCCCCCAAACCAAAAUAGCGCCACAUGUUUUUUAUUUUUUCCAUUUUAAUUGUAGUUCAUUUUUAAAAUAAAAAAUUUAUAGUGAUUUGAAUUAAUUUUUAACUUAUUAUCAACGUUUUUAUUUUUGUUUUAUUUUUAUUUUACAUUAAUUUUACCUAUUCUUUAAUUAACAAAUUUAUAAUGACUUAGAGUUUAUCUAAUAGAGUUUUUUUUUUAUAAUCGGUCUUAUGAUAAAAUUUUAUAAGGUGGGAACAAGUCCCACAGUGACAACAUGAUCCUUCAAUUUUUGGUGGUGGCAUGCCUUUAGUCAAAGGAUCAGCCAACAUCUGCUCAAUGCUAAUGUGCUCAAUGACCAAUUUCUUGUCUUUAACAUGUUUCCUUAUGCCUAGGUACUUAAAGUCGAUAUGUUUACUUCAACUUCCACUUUUUUCGUUCUUAGCCAUAAAGACAGCAGUUGAAUUGUCACAAUAUAUGAAAUAAUCAAAACCCAUAAUGACUCAGCCUAAAAAUCUCGAGCUUCAAACCCAAAUUAAAUUAAAUCAAAACCAUAAUUUAUUAUGUACAAUUGCACAAAAUUAACAUAAUUUAAGUGUGUCAUAGUGCGCGUUAAAUUAAAGUUUACGUUUGACAUUAUAGAUAAUAUUCACGUGUAAAAUUUUGAGAUUUAUUCCCUUAAUUAAUGUAAUAUGUCAAAUAGAAUACUUGAACAAUCCUCCAUGUUGGCAAAGUUUAUGUUAAGUAGUAGAAGCGAACUAAAUAAUGAGAAUAAAUCUAAAGUAUGGCAUACAUAUAAUUUAUUCACAAUGUGACUUAAACUUUGUCCUUCAAGAUUUCACGGUCUCAAUUUAUGUCUUAAAUUUUUAAGAUCAUUUUAGGUUUGUUAAAAAAUUAAAAGUUUAGAAAGUUAGAAUUGUUGCUUGAGGCGUGAAUAUCCCUAUUCUUUAGGAUAUUUGUGGAUUUACCAUCUCUCAGGAUUUCUUUUGUAUCAUGCACAAUGAAAAAAUUGAAAAAAAAAUUUCCCAUUUGAAUGGAAUUGAGCUAUUAGGCUCAAGCCUCGUGUGCGCAUAUAUAUUCUCUUAUUUUGAGUCUUACAAGUUUAUAGUAAACCAAAUCUAUAUAAACAUCAUUUAAUAGGUCAAUCUAAAAUAUGUUUAAUAUGUGUAAUUCUUUAAAAUAGAUGAAAACUUCAAAUAUGGUUUAGGUCAUUUUCAGAUUUGUCUUAUUUUAGGUUCAAAUUAUUCGAAUUUGAGGCUACGUUUUUCAUGUCUAAUCAUUAUUGAUCCGAAUCAUUUUAGAUUUUGAUCAUUUUAAGUUCCAAUUAUUUUGUGAUCAAAUCAUUUCAAGUUUUGAUAAAUUUGGGUCGAUUCGAAUUUGACUUAAUUACGUAGUUAACUUUUUUUAUACUGAACUGAGCUGAAUGAAAGUUAGAUUGGAAUUUAUUUAGUGUGCCUUUGUGUUUAAGUCGAAAUUUAAACAUCUCCCUUCAAAAUAAACAAUUUAAGACAAUUUUAUUUUAAAGACAAUAAUACAACAUAGUUGAUUUGGGAGAUAAACAUGUUAAUUUUUUAAUCCCAACCAAAAUUGUACAUAAUUCUUUUAUGCCAUAUUAAAUACAUGCAACGUCUUAUAAAAAUUGUAAAUAAAUUAUGCCUAGCGACAACGUUAUUCAACUCUAAUUUCAUGGUUAAUACCUAUUUCUAUUUUUCUUCUACUGUCUUCAGCUUUAAAUAUAAAGGGAUUGAAAUUUUAAGAAUUGAGAUUUCUUUUCUCUGUAUUAGUGGACGUUUGAUUUUUUGUUUGAUUGUUUUUUUUACUGGAAUUGGCACAUAUCUUUUCAGAUUUAUCAAUAUUUUUUUAAAUUUAUUUAAGAUAUGUAUAUCAAUAUAUUACAAAUAUAAAAUAAAUGAAACUAAAUACAUUUCAAAUAUAAAAUAUUUAUUAAUAAACUGAACAAAUAAAAAUUUAUCAUUCUAAUAAAUCCAAAAUUAUUAAUAACAAUCCAUCAUUUAAUAUGAAAUUUUAUGGAUUUAGCUCAUUUACUUAAUAAAAGAAGCUGAAAGGUGGACGAAUAUAUUUUUUCUUUGAUAAUCGGGUGAACGGUUUUUUCUUAAUUAUAUUUUGAAUGUGAAAGUGUAUUCCAUUUUUUAAAAAACUUUACAUUCUGAUGUAACAUUUUUAAUUAGCCACGUUUCAAUUAAGUUUUUGGCAUAAUAGUAAAUAAUUAAAAGUUUAAUAUUUUUAAUGUUAUUCAUCCACAGGACUGUGCAUUAUGUUCUGGCAAGUGUGACAGGAAUUGAUCGGAAUGAGUUGGUGCAAUUUGUACGGACCGAAAUUUUCACCAGUGUAGAAAAAGUGUGUUGGGUGUUUUGCAAUGUUAUUGAAACCAAACUAAACAGACCAAGAACCGAUGAACCCGAGGACUAGAGUAAACUGCAGUUAAACUGCAAAUCAUCAGCCGAUUAAGUCGUAUUUUAACAUUUUCUAAACUGGAAAGAAGAAAAUUUCACUUCAAGGCCCUUGAGCUUUUGUCACACUUCUUCUCUGCACUCAAUGAAAUAAAACACAACAUAAAAAUAUAAGCACCAUUUCUUUUAUUACUUUUUCUACUAAAAUAAGUGUUUUUUUCCUCUUAAAAAACCUAAGAUGGGGAGAGGAUUUUAAAAUUCAAAACCUUCGAAAUAGAUGAGUUUGAGGUUGUUAAUAUUAUUUUAUAUUGUUGAAUAGUAAAUUAAUUGUAUUGGUGGUUUAACCUAUUGGAUCGAGAAUUAAUGAUUUGAUUGAUUUGAGUUUGGGCUGCUCACAAUCUUGACUGCAUUUAUCAUUUAAUUCUUUUUUUAAUUAGCCAAACUCAUGUUAACAAUGGUAUAACAGUAAUUAAUGACUUCAUGGACAGAACAUCAAUAUAUAAAUACACAAACAAAUAUAAUGGGAAUUGGAGAACUCCCAUUUAUACAAACAAAUAUAAGUGGGCAAAUUCAAUACUCAUAAUAAAUACACAAAGAUGACUAAAACCAUUAUUAAACCAGAUCCAGUAUGCAGCAUACAAGAAAAAGGGGGUAUUUCAAGGAGUAGAACGAGAAGGUGGUGGAGAAAAGGAAGGAAUAGAGGGGACUGCAGUUGGGAUUGAGGGAAUGCUUGGCAGAGGCGGCAGUCCUCUUGGCAAUGUGGUAGGAAGUGGAGGAAGCGCCCCAGGGUUUGGGAGAUUAGGGAUAGAUGGCAAUGGCGGAAAAGAGAAAGGAAUAGGGGGAAUUGCAGUUGGGAUUGUGGGGACUGAGGGAAUGCUUGGCAGAGGGGGCAGUCCUGUUGGGAAUGUGGUAGGAAGUGGAGGAAGCGCCCCAGGCCAUGAGAAUGAUGGUCGGGAUGGCGUUGGGAGAUUAGGGAAAGAUGGUAAACUUUGCGUUCGAGGCUGCUGCAGAAGGUGACGAGCUGCUACCCCAACAUCAAUGCUUGCAAAUGACAAAGCAAUCAAGAAUGCUAAAGCAAAGCAAUUGAAAGAGGCCAUUUUUGUUCAAAGAUUUCGAAACAAAUGAAGCAGAUGAAACGAAGUUCUUUAUCUGAAUAGUUGUGAGUGAGGAAAACAAAGCAUGGUAUUGAGGUUUAUAUAGGCAUUGGAGUAGUGAAUAGAAAUCCCCUGCCCCUAAACAAUGCCCCAUGCAUGCCCCCAAACCAAAAUAGCGCCACAUGUUUUUUAUUUUUUCCAUUUUAAUUGUAGUUCAUUUUUAAAAUAAAAAAUUUAUAGUGAUUUGAAUUAAUUUUUAACUUAUUAUCAACGUUUUUAUUUUUGUUUUAUUUUUAUUUUACAUUAAUUUUACCUAUUCUUUAAUUAACAAAUUUAUAAUGACUUAGAGUUUAUCUAAUAGAGUUUUUUUUUUAUAAUCGGUCUUAUGAUAAAAUUUUAUAAGGUGGGAACAAGUCCCACAGUGACAACAUGAUCCUUCAAUUUUUGGUGGUGGCAUGCCUUUAGUCAAAGGAUCAGCCAACAUCUGCUCAAUGCUAAUGUGCUCAAUGACCAAUUUCUUGUCUUUAACAUGUUUCCUUAUGCCUAGGUACUUAAAGUCGAUAUGUUUACUUCAACUUCCACUUUUUUCGUUCUUAGCCAUAAAGACAGCAGUUGAAUUGUCACAAUAUAUGAAAUAAUCAAAACCCAUAAUGACUCAGCCUAAAAAUCUCGAGCUUCAAACCCAAAUUAAAUUAAAUCAAAACCAUAAUUUAUUAUGUACAAUUGCACAAAAUUAACAUAAUUUAAGUGUGUCAUAGUGCGCGUUAAAUUAAAGUUUACGUUUGACAUUAUAGAUAAUAUUCACGUGUAAAAUUUUGAGAUUUAUUCCCUUAAUUAAUGUAAUAUGUCAAAUAGAAUACUUGAACAAUCCUCCAUGUUGGCAAAGUUUAUGUUAAGUAGUAGAAGCGAACUAAAUAAUGAGAAUAAAUCUAAAGUAUGGCAUACAUAUAAUUUAUUCACAAUGUGACUUAAACUUUGUCCUUCAAGAUUUCACGGUCUCAAUUUAUGUCUUAAAUUUUUAAGAUCAUUUUAGGUUUGUUAAACUGCAGUUAAACUGCAAAUCAUCAGCCGAUUAAGUCGUAUUUUAACAUUUUCUAAACUGGAAAAAAGAAAAUUUCACUUCAAGGCCCUUGAGCUUUUGUCACACUUCUUCUCUGCACUCAAUGAAAUAAAACACAACAUAAAAAUAUAAGCACCAUUUCUUUUAUUACUUUUUCUACUAAAAUAAGUGUUUUUUUCCUCGUAAAAAACCUAAGAUGGGGAGAGGAUUUUAAAAUUCAAAACCUUCGAAAUAGAUGAGUUUGAGGUUGUUAAUAUUAUUUUAUAUUGUUGAAUAGUAAAUUAAUUGUAUUGGUGGUUUAACCUAUUGGAUCGAGAAUUAAUGAUUUGAUUGAUUUGAGUUUGGGCUGCUCACUAUCUUGACUGCAUUUAUCAUUUAAUUCUUUUUUUAAUUAGCCAAACUCAUGUUAACAAUGGUAUAACAGUAAUUAAUGACUUCAUGGACUGAACAUCAAUAUAUAAAUACACAAACGUAGUGGCCCAAUAUUGCCCGGCCCGAUAAUAAAAAAUGAUAAAAUAAAUAAAGGUCCAAUGUCCAGCUUUUACAAACCCAAAAUCAAUACUGCCCAAUUAGCCUAAACCCAAUUAGGUUUAACCCAAACUCUAGCCUAGCCCAAAACCCAACUUAGCCCAAGACUCUCCCCAAACCCCGAAAACCCUAGCAGCAACGGGAGCCUCCUUCCAACGCGCAACCAUCAGGUGGCCUUCUCCACGCACACGCUGCCACGUACAUCUCCUUACGGCCACCUCCGUACCUCCAGGCUGGCCGAAUACCUGCAAAAAAAAAUGCACGGAAACAGCAGCAAAUAGAAAAACAACAGCAUAGGGGUGAAUUUUUAAUUAUUUUUUCAUUUUAUUUUCUGUAAAUCGGGCUAUAAGAAAGCGAUUCGAAUACUGUAACAGAUUUACGCAUUCAAUAUACAAAGAAAUUGAGAAUACAAAAGAAUCAAAAAAGCAGAGAAAGGUGAUUUUCUGGGUUUUUUAAUCCUUUCUAUCUUGUUGGUUACUUGAUUCUUUUUUUUUACUUUUUUAAAUUGUACGUUCAUCAAUCGUUGUUUAAAAAAGAAAUAGGAAAAAGAAAGGGAGGGAAACGUACCUGGUAGCGCGAUCCUGGCUCUCUCCGGCGUCAUCGGAGCAGGGGCUGGGAUCAAUGACUGCUCGAGUACCUUCAAUACCCAGAGCGGCGCUGAGUUUUUUUUUUUAGUUUAGGUUUUUCUUUUAAUUUAAUGAUAGGUUUUUAGGGUUUAUUUAGUUUUAAGCGAAGGAAUUAAAACGUCGACGUUAAAAGUCGAUGCAAUGACUUUGAAACGGCAUCGUUUUAGGGACCAGAUCCGAACGGUGACCCGAUCCAGGAAGGAUCCGUGCAUUAUGGAUCAUUUGGUCUAUUUGUUCAAUAGAUCCCUCUAUGUUUAAUGGAAUUGCGAUUUGAUUUCUUUUAAUUUUUUGUAAUUCGUACUGCAUAUUUUGUUCUAUUUUCAUUUAGAUCCAGAUUGAAACGGUAUCGUUUACUGCGUUUGACUUUGAUUAUUCUAAGCUUUUGGGUUUAAUUGCCGAUUCAGUCCUCCAAUUUUGAAAUAAAUUUUAAUUUAACAUGAGUUUAGCCUUUUUAAAAAAAAAAGAAAUCAAUAUCAUUUUUUAAUUAUAAUUAAUCCUAUUUUGGUACAUUAUAAAAUCUAACAUUAUUUGUAAUAUUUGAUUUUGAUGUUUUUAAAUCUACAUUUAUUAUAACCUAAGAUAUAAUAGAUCAUUGUUUUAGUUUAUAUCCUAUACUUUAAAUUUAUUAUAUAAUAAUAUUUUGUAUCUACCAUAUUUAUUUAAUUUUGUCUUUUCCUUUUGGUUCCAUUUUAAGUCCCGAUUUUAAAUUUAUUAAUAUUUUCAUUAUAAUUGUUGUUAUUACGCUUCUAAAUUGUUUUAUUAUAUUUCAUUUUGUCUUCAAAAAGUGUUUUUUAAAACAAAUUAAUUCUUAAUUUUAAUUCAUUUUCUAACAUUAUUUUGGUAUUUAGUAUGAUAUUAUUUUCAAAUUUAUUAUUAGUACAUUUUUUUAAAAUAAUACAUUAUUUUUUAAAUUAUUAUCAAUAUGUUUUAAUUUUAUCAAUAUUAUUUUAAAAAUAUAUAUGAUUUAUAUGAAAUUAUUCUAGUAUAUAUGUAUAUAGAUUACAUCAUUAACUUUAGAUUAACCUCUUUUACAUAAUUUUUUUAAAAUGUUUUAUUCCUUAAACCUUAUUUAUUUUAUUCAUUUUAUAGGUUGUUAAAUUAUUAAUAUGGAUGUUUGUAUGACAUGAUUAAGAUCAAUGUUUAUAUUUGCCUAUUAUUUGUUUAAUUGCUUCUAGUUUAAGUUUAAGUUGUUAUUUAUCUUUUAUAUAUCGUUAUUCAAUCAUGUUUCAUUUGUAAGAGUUGAAUUUUAUUAAAGCAUCAUAAUUCCUAAAAAAGCUUGGUGUUUAAUAGUUCUCGAGAGAAUUGUACCCUAACUUACUGGGCUUCAAUUCUUCUCGAUGAAUUUAUAUCAUCAAGUAUCCAUUUUAUACAAUUUUAAAAUAAAAUUCUUUAGAUUUCAAAAUGUGGGAUCCUAACUUACUGGAUACGACAUUUUGUUAUCUCGAUUUUAAAAUAAAGGCAAUAUUUGAUGUUUAAAAAUUUCAAGAAAUCGAACCCUAACUUACUGGAUUCUGAUUUCUCGAUUGACUUAAAUAGUCAAAUAUCCUUCUUAAAACAUGUUUAAAUUUUUUUAAAAAGGGACGAACUUAACUUCGAAGAUUGAACUGUUUCACUUUAACUCACUGAGUGUGGCGAUUUGUUUCUUUGACAUGGGUCCGUCCACUUAACCAAUUUAAUUAUUUAAGCUUUCAUUUCAUGGGAUCGUAUUUAAAAAUCUUUUCAAGUUUUGACACUAAGACAUUAAAUAACCAAUUCGGUACCAAUUUUGGGCGUUACGAGGGUGCUAACCCUUCCUCGUGCGUAACCGACUUUCGAACUUAUCUUCUCAAAAUUCGCAGACCAAAAAAAUUGUUUUCAAGGUGAUCCGAUCUCACCUCAACAAAAAUUGGUGGCGACUCCAAUUUUCAUUUUUUAAAGUCGACUACUAAUAAAUUUUUGUUUUCAAAAAAUGGUUUCGACAGCUUGGUGACUCCACUGGGGACUAUAAGAGAGUCAAGUUGAAAAAUUUAUUGUUUCCUAUCUUAUCGUCGAAAAUUAAAAAUUUGAUUUGAAAAAUUAUGAUCCUUUCUUUGCAUUUGUUUGUAUGAUUACUGUUUUAUACCUUGGCAUCAUAUUGCAUAAAGACUGUUUAGUCUUACCCUUUAAGUGGGAGUGAGAAGCUAUUCCUUCUUGAGGUUUUCACCUCCGUGCAGGAUAGUGAAUCACUUUCGCGAUACAUCCGUACCUAUGUCUUCGUGAUAUUUUCAUCUCCGUGCAGCCAUAGGGAAAUGUAUUCCCCCGAACCGAACUCGGUCUGUAUGAGCCUAUAAUGGGUGAAGAUCGAGGAAUCUGUUGGUUCGGGCACCUCAACUUUAGAACCAAACCCCAUAUAGUGGACUUAGAAGCUCAACCUAGUUAGAACUAUUCCAAUCUCUCGUGAUUGCCCAGAUAGAUGAUUGUGUUUCUUAUACUUGCUUUGAAUUUUUAUUUUUGUGUUGUACUGACUUGUUUAUGUUUUGUUGAUAUUGUUGCAUGUCACUGCAUAGUUCAAAGAGUGUCGAUUCAAGUUCAGUUACUAAAUUAGAAAACCGUCAUGGCAAACGAAUUUCUGGAUAAAGUGGAGGAUAACGCCAUUGUCUGUAUAUGGUCAGAGAAGGUGCAAUUGGAGAAAGGAGACAAUUUAUCUAAGGGAUAUGUGUCAGAGCUUUGGGACUACACUCGUAUUAGUGUGACACAAAAUAGCCUUCAGGAGUUAAAUGAGAUUUGGGAUCAGUGGAAUGAUGAAACCAAGUAGAUGUUCUACUCUAAUUAUGGGGACUUGCCGUACUUACUUAAAAUCAAGGUGGAUGAAAGACUAUUUCGCGCUCUCGCUCAAAAUUGGAAUCUUGCAUAUAGCUAUUUUACUUAUGGGAACGUAGAUUUGGUGCCCACAGUGGAGGAAUAUACAGCUUUACUACACUGCCCUAGGCUUCAGGUUGAUAAAGCAUAUUCUAGAGCCACAUAUGUCCCAGCGUUUUGGAAGAAAUUAAUGAGUAUUACCGGAAUGAGCAAACAAUGGAUCACGGCCAGGAUCAAACAGAAGGGCGAGUGUAAAUGUAUCCCAUAGAGGAAUUUGCGAGACUUGAUCCUAGCACAUCCUGACGGAAAAAAGAAGGUUGAUGUGUUUGCUUUGAGUAUCUACGGGUUAGUGAUUUUCCCUAGAGCAUUGGGCCAUGUUGACGAAGCGGUUUCAGAUCUUUUUGAUCGGUUGGGUAAAGGGGUCACGUCUGUUCUUGCGAUUUUGGCUGAAACGUUUAGAUCUUUGAAUACGUGUAGGCAAGCUGGUGAAGGUAGAUUUAUAGGUUGUGCACAAUUGUUGAUAGCUUGGUUCCAUAGUCAUUUCUAGAAGGUCGACAAAGUUUCGUAUCGGGUUUUCUCUAGGCAUUACUCCCUGUUAAAAGAGAUAGUGGCUACGCCAAGAAAGGACGAUAUUUCAGAAGAAAAUUGGAUAGCAAUUCUGCAAAAUCUUCAAGAGGAUGAUGUGGAGUGGAGAGCUCCUUGGUUGAUUCCUGAUGGAAUUCUCUACCGUUGUGGAAGCUUUGACUAGGUUCCGUUGCUUGGGAUUUGGGGAGCCGUUGGGUAUGCACCUUUGCUGGUCCUAAGGCAAUACAAUUCAAGACAGUUUGUGCCGGCAACGUAUGGUUUAGCUCAAUAUGAGUUCUCGUACCGAGGAGACAAUUACAAGAAAAAGGUGAAAGAAAUUUCUCAGGCUUGGAAUGAGGUUCACAGGAUGAAAAGGCUAGCUGUGGGUUUGAUGACAACUCCAGAGUACGAUGAGUGGCGACGUAAAAGAAUUAAUGAUAACAUUCUGGAGUUAAACUUGGAGGGUGUUCGACCAAUGGAAGAGUACCUACAAGUGAUCCCAUCAGAGUUGGAGAUUUUAAAACAAGAUUUUGAAAAGAGGAAUUUAGAACUUGAAAAGAAAAUAGAGCGGUUGGAAGAAGAGAAGAUUCAUUUGAGGCUAGACAUUAACGUCUAAAAGUUAGAAGCUGAAAAAUUAAAGAAGGGGAAGAAUAAAGUAGAGGAGGAUCUGGAUAGCUUAAAGACGGACUACAAAAGGCUACGAGUAUCAAUGAGAACUGCUGGGUUGGGAAAGACUUCAGAGCAGUGGCGACAGGAGAUCCAAGAAGAAAGAAACAUAGUCGAUCGGUGGGAAAGAAAGUCCUAGGAGGCUCAAGUUCAGAAAGAGACCUUAGAACGACAGGUGUUAGAAACUCAAAACUAUCAAGCGGACUUAAAAGCUAGAAUAGCGGAACUCAAGAGAUCACUUGCUGCGUAUAGAAGUCGUAAUUCUGUAGUGGAAUUAAAGACAAGUCUAUGCAAGAUUGAAGAAAUGAAAAAUAGGAUAGAAGAAUUGGAGUACACAUUACAAGGCUGUAGACAACGGAUCGAAUCCUUGGAAGGAAAUGAAGAGCGUUGGAGGGAGCAACUUUAUCAUUCGCAAAAUCAAAUUCAGAACAGAGGUUACAUUAUGGGCAGGGCUAUUGCUCAGAUUUGGGAGGUAGCUGAUCAUUUGCAAACAAUGGCAAUUCAGGCUGACGUGUUAAGCGUAAAGUAUGAACUGGAAUCAGAUCGAGGGCAGGAGUUAGCUUCGCUAUUGAAGGAAGCUUCGCUAUUGAAGGAAGUUAAAGCUUUGAGUAUUAGGGCAAAGCCAUACUUGUAAUUCAUUUUAUGUAAAGAAUUUUGUUUAUCAAUAAAGUUUUCUAAAGGAAAUUGGAUCAGAAUCGACGCUCUUUUUGCAUUCAUUUCAUGCAUUUGCAUUACAUGACAUCAUAUGCAUUCAAGACUAUUAAGAAGAGGUUUUAAUUGGUUAAAAUUGUGCUUCAGUUAAUUUGGAAACCAGCAAAAAUUCAUCAACCAAGCACCACUACGGUACCCGUGCGAAAUCAAAAAUUAUGGAUCAAAGAUUGGAAAAGCUUGAGCGCUUUCAAAAGGAAAUGCAAGAUCAAAUGAAAGAACAAAUGGAAAAGAUUCAACAUGACAUGAUACAAAAGAUGCAGGAGUCUCAAAAUGACAUGAUGACUAAGUUGACGCAAUUAAUAACCAGAGGAGUAGAUAAAGGGAAAGGUCCUGUGAUUUGUAAUGAAGAAGGAAACAAUGAUGAACCACUUCUUCCUCCAGGUUUUACGCCUCCGCACGCGCAAGUUCAGACUGAACCGCAUCCGCGGAGACCUUCUGUUUCGAGUAGGCCUCAGCAUUUUCAAGGGGAUGUUUCAAUACCGAAGAACUUUCAGGUCGGAUCUGGCUCUAAUCCUGGUGAUAAUUUGAAUAAUAUUGCUGUCCCGUAUUUCGAUGAAGUAGCUGAGAAGGAUAAGGUGAAAGAAGAGUUUCCAAAGCAGUUUGAGGAGAAAUAGAAAUGGAUUGAAGAGAAAUUUAGAGUGAUGGAAAGCAUUGAAAGCUAUCGUGGAAUAGAUGAAAAAGAUCUGAGUCUGGUUCCGAAUUUGGUACUUUCUUACAAGUUUAAGAUGUCAGAAUUUGAGAAAUACAGUAGGACCAGUUGCCCUGAGGCCCAUAUCACCAUGUUCUGUAGGAGAAUGACGGGGUAUAUUAAUAAUUACCAAUUAUUAAUACAUUGAUUUCAGAAUAGUCUUAUAGGGGCGGCGUCAAAAUGGUACAAUCAGCUGAGUCGAACCAAAAUCGCUACUUGGAGGGAUUUGGCAUAGGCUUUCAUGAGACAGUACAAUCAUGUAUCAGAAAUGACACCUAACCGAAUAACUUUGCAGAAUUUAGAGAAAAAAUCAAACGAAAGCUUCAGACAGUAUGCGCAGCGAUGGAGGGAAAUUGCAAUUCAGGUUCAGCCACCACUUGUGGAAAAGAGAAUGACAAUGCUUUUUAUCAAUACAUUGAAAGCCCCGUUCAUUACUCACAUGUUGGGAAGUGCUUCAAAGAACUUCUCGGAUAUAAUCAUGAACGGUGAAAUGAUUGAGAAUGCUAUUAAGAGUGGAAGAAUAGAUGGAGGGGAUAAUAAUAGAAGGACAGCCCCAAAGAAAAGAGAAAAUGAAGUGAGCAAUGUGAGCUGAUACGGUAGGUCAAUUACGGUGAAUCAACCAGGAAAGGUGGUUACUAAUCAAUAAAGCUCAUCAAGACAAGAAGUAGGAGGGAGGCAAAACACUAAAAAACCCCAGUUUACGCCAAUUCCGAUGUCAUACAAGGAGUUAUAUCAGAAUUUAUUUAAUGCAUAUGUUGUUUCCCCUCAUUACUUGACCCCUUUACAACCCCCUUAUCCCAAAUGGUACGAUAUAAAUGCACAAUGUGACUAUCAUGCGGGAAUCUCGGGGCAUUCAAUAGAGAAUUGCACGGCUUUCAAGAAGGUAGUGGAAAAACUCAUCAGGAUGGGUGUUGUCAAAUUUGAUGACUCACUUAACGCAAAAAAUCUGUUACCUAAUCAUGCUGAUAAGGGAGUAAAUAUGAUGGGCGAAAGUAUGGGAGAAAAAUUCAAGAAUGACAUCGGUGAAGUAAAAACUCCAUUGAAACAGGUCUGGAAAGAGAUGGUGAAAAGAGGGCUAGGCAUUUCAGAUUUUGGGGAAGAGGAUGAGGCUGAAAAAUAUUGUGAAUUCCACCGUGAAGUAGGACAUGAGAUUCAAGAAUGUGAAGAAUUUAAAGCUCUGGUCCAAAGCAUGAUGGAUAACAAGGAAAUAAAGUUCUAUGAGGAAACAGAGGAAGAAAGAAGCAUAUGCGCGUCGGAAUCAACAACGAAGAUUUCAAAAAUAAAUCAUCCUGUGGUCAUUAUUUCGCACCCUAAGAACAGUGAGGCUAGGGUCCAGGUAACGCCAAAAAUUGUAAUACAUAAGCUGUCAAAUUUCUCAUAUAAAGAUAGUAAAAUGGUUCCGUGGAAGUACGGAUGCAAUGUGACAAUCUCAACGUUUUUAUUUAUUUUAUUUUUAUUUUACAUUAAUUUUACCUAUGCUUUAAUUAAAAAAAUUAUAAUGACUUAGAGUUUAUUUAAUAGAGUUUUUUUUUAUAAUCGGUCUUAUAAUAAGAUUUUAUAAGGUGGGACCAAGUCCCACAGUGACAACAUGAUCCUUCAAUUUUUUGUGGUGGCAUGCCUUUAGUCAAAGGAUCAGCUAACAUCUGCUCAAUGCUAAUGUGCUCAAUGACCAAUUUCUUUUCUUUAACAUGUUCCCUUAUGCCUAGGUACUUAAAGUCAAUAUGUUUACUUCGACUUCCACUUCUUUCGUUCUUAGCCAUAAAGACAGCAGUUGAAUUGUCACAAUAUAUGAAAUAAUCAAAACCCAUAAUGACUCAGCCCAAAAAUCUCGAACUUCAAACCCAAAUUAAAUUAAAUCAAAACCAUAAUUUAUUAUGUACAAUUGCACAAAAUUAACAUAAUUUAAGUGUGUCAUAGUGCACAUUAAAUUAAAGUUUACGUUUGACAUUAUAGAUAAUAUUCACGUGUAAAAUUUUGAGAUUUAUUCCCUUAAUUAAUGUAAUAUGUUAAAUAGAAUACUUGAACAAUCCUCCAUGUUGGCAAAGUUUAUGUACAGUAGUAGAAGCGAACUAAAUAAUUAGAAUAAAUCUAAGGUAUGGCUUACAUAUAUUUUAUUCACAAUGUGACUUAAACUUUGUCCUUCAAGAUUUCACGGUCUCAAUUUAUGUCUUAAAAUUUUAAGAUCAUUUUAGGUUUGUUAAAAAAUUAAAAGUUUAGAAAGUUAGAAUUGUUGCUUGAGGCGUGAAUAUCCCUAUUCUUUAGGAUAUUUGCGGAUUUACCAUCUCUCAGGAUUUCGUUUGUAUCAUGCACAAUGAAAAAAUUGAAAAAAAAAAUUCCCAUUUGAAUGGAAUUGAGCUAUUAGGCUCAAGCCUCGUGUGCGCAUAUAUAUUCUCUUAUUUUGAGUCUUACAAGUUUAUAGUAAACCAAAUCUAUAUAAACAUCAUUUCAUUAGGUCAAUCUAAAAUAUGUUUAAUAUGUGUAAUUCUUUAAAAUAGAUGAAAACUUCAAAUAUGGUUUAGGUCAUUUUUAGAUUUCUCUUAUUUUAGGUUCAAAUCAUUCGAAUUUGAGGCUAAUUUUUUCAUGUGUAAUCAUUAUUGAUCCGAAUCAUUUUAGAUUUUGAUCAUUUUAAGUUCCAAUUAUUUUGUGAUCAAAUCAUUUCAAGUUUAGAUAAAUUUGGGUCGAUUUGAAUUUGACUUAAUUACGUAGUUAACUUUUUUUUUUAUAAUAAAUUGAGCUGAAUGAAAGUUAGAUUGGAAUUUAUUUAGUGUGCCUUUGUGUUUAAGUCAAAAUUUAAACAUCUCCCUUCGAAAUAAACAUGUUAAGACAAUUUUAUUUUAAAGACAAUAAUACAACAUAGUUGAUUUGGGAGAUAAACAUGUUAAUUUUUUAAUCCCAACCAAAAUUGUACAUAAUUCUUUUAUGUCAUAUUAAAUACAUGUAACGUCUUAUAAAAAUUGUCAAUAAAUUAUGCCUAGCGACAACGUUAUUCAACUCUUUUCAUUGUUAAUACCUAUUUCUAUUUUUCUUCUAAUGUCUUCAGCUUUAAAUAUAAAGGGAUUGAAAUUUUAAGAAUUGAGAUUUCUUUUCUCUGUAUUAGUGGACGUUUGAUUUUUUGUUUGAUUGUUUUUUUUACUGGAAUUGACACAUAUCUUUUCAGAUUUAUCAAUAUUUUUUAAAUUUAUUUAAGAUAUGUAUAUAAAUAUAUUACAAACGUAAUGGCCUAAUAUUGCCCGGCCCGAUAAUAAAAAAUGAUAAAAUAAAUAAAGGUCCAAUGUCCAGCUUUUACAAACCCAAAAUCAAUACGGCCCAAUUAGCCUAAACCCGAUUAGCUUUAACCCAAACUCUAGCCUAGCCCAAAACCCAACUUAGCCCAAGACUCUCCCGAAACCCCGAAAACCCUAGCAGCAACAGGAGCCUCCUUCCAGAGCCGCAACCAUCAGCUGGCCUUCUCCACGCACACGCUGCCACGCACAUCUCCAGACGGCCACCUCCGUACCUCCAGGUUGGCCGAAUACCUGCAAAAAAAAACGCACGGAAACAACAGCAAAUAGAAAAACAAUAGCAUAGGGGUGAAUUUUUAAUUAUUUUUUCAUUUUAUUUUCUGUAAAAGGGCUAUAAGAAAGGCAUUCGAAUACUGUAACGGGAUUUACGCAUUGAAUAUAUAAAGAGAUUGAGAAUACAAAAGAAUCAAAAAAGCAGAAAAAGGUGAUUUUCUGGGUUUUUUAUUCCUUUCUAUCUUGUUGGUUACUUGAUUCUUUUUUUUACUUUUUUAAUUUGUACGUUCAUCAAUCGUUGUUUAAAAAAAAUAGGAAAAAGAAAGGGAGGGAAACGAUCCUGGCUCUCUCCGGCGUCAUCGGAGUAGGGGCUGGGAUCAAUUACUGCUCGAGUACCUUCAAUACCCAAAGCGGCGCUGAGUUUUUUUUUUUCGUUUAGGUUUUUGUUUUAAUGUAAAGAUAAGUUUUUAGGGUUUAUUUAGUUUUAAGCGAAGGAAUUAAAAAUUCAACGUUUAAAGUCGAUGCAAUGACUUUGAAACAACGUCGUUUUAGGGACCAGAUCCAAACGGUGACCCGAUCCGGGAAGGAUGCAUGCAUUAUGGAUCAUUUGGUCUAUUUGUUCAAUAGAUCCCUCUAUGUUUAAUGGAAUUGCGAUUUGAUUUCUUUUAAUUGUUUGUAAUUCGUACUGCAUAUUUUGUUCUGUUUUCAUUUAGAUCCAGAUUGAAAUGGUAUCGUUUACUGCAUUUGACUUUGAUUAUUCUGAGCUUUUGGGUUUAAUUGCCGAUUCAGUCCUCCAAUUUUGAAAUAAAUUUUAAUUUAACAUGAGUUUAGCCUUAAAAAAAAAAAGAAGAAAUCAAUAGCAUUUUUUAAUUAUAAUUAAUCCUAUUUUCGUACAUUAUAAAAUCUAACAUUAUUUGUAAUAUUUGAUUUUGAUGUUUUUAAAUCUACAAUUAUUAUAACCUAAGAUAUAAUAGAUCAUUGUUUUAGUUUAUAUCCUAUACUUUAAAUUUAUUAUAUAAUAAUAUUUUGAAUCUACCAUAUUUAUUUAAUUUUGUCUUUUCCUUUUGGUUCCAUUUUUAGUCCCGAUUUUAAAUUUAUUAAUAUUUUCAUUAUAAUUGUUGUUAUUACUCUUCUAAAUUGUUUUACUAUAUUUAAUUUUGUCUUCAAAAAGUGUUUUUUAAAACAAAUUAAUUCUUAAUUUUAAUUCAUUUUCUAACAUUAUUUUGGUAUUUAGUAUGAUAUUAUUUUCAAUUUUAUUAUUAGUACAUUUUUUAAAAAUAAUACAUUAUUUUUUUAAAUUAUUAUCAAUAUGUUUUAAUUUUAUCAAUAUUAUUUUAAAUAUAUAUAUGAUUUAUAUGAAAUUAUUCUAGUAUAUAUGUAUAUAGAUUACAUCAUUAACUUUAGAUUAACCUUUUUUACAUAAUUUUUUUAAAAUGUUUUAUUCCUUAAACCUUAUUUAUUUUAUUUGUUUUAUAGGUUGUUAAAUUAUUAAUAUGGAUGUUUGUAUGACAUGAGUAAGAUCAAUGUUUAUAUUUUCCUAUUAUUUGUUUAAUUGCUUCUAGUUUAAGUUUAAGUUGUUAUUUAUCUUUUAUAUAUCGUUAUUCAAUCAUGUUUCAUUUGUAAGAGUUGAAUUUUAUUAAAGCAUCAUAAUUCCUAAAAAAGCUUGGUGUUUAAUAGUUCUCGAGAGAAUUGUGCCCUAACUUACUGGGCUUCAAUUCUUCUCGAUGAAUUUAUAUCAUCAAGUAUCCAUUUUAUACAAUUUUAAAAUAAAAUUCUUUAGAUUUCAAAAUGUGGGAUCCUAACUUACUGGAUACGACAUUUUGUUAUCUCGAUUUUAAAAUAAAGGCAAUAUUUGAUGUUUAAGAAUUUCGAGAAAUCGAACCCUAACUUACUAGAUUCUGAUUUCUCGAUUGACUUAAAUAGUCAAAUAUCCUUCUUAAAACAUGUUUAAAAUUUUCUAAAAAGGGACGAACUUAACUUCGAAGAUUGAACUGUUUCACUCUAACUCACUGAGUGUGGCGAUUUGUUUCUUUGAAAUGGGUCCGUCCACUUAACCAAUUCAAUUAUUUAAGCUUUCAUUUCAUGGGAUCGUAUUUAAAAAUCUUUUCAAGUUUCGACACUAAGACAUUAAAUAACCAAUUCGGUACCAAUUUUGAGCGUUACGAGGGUGCUAACCCUUCCUCGUGUGUAACCGACUUCCGAACUUAUCUUCUCAAAAUUCGCAGACAAAAAAAAUUAUUUUCAAGGUGAUCCGAUCACACCUCAACAAAAAUCGGUGGCGACUCCAAUUUUCUUUUUUUAAAGUCGACUACUAAUAAAUUUUUAUUUUCAAAAAAUGGUUUCAACAACAAAUAUAAAAUAAAUGAAACUAAAUACAUUUCAAAUAUAAAAUAUUCGUUAAUAAACUUAACAAAUAAAAAUUUAUCAUUGAAAUAAAUCCAAAAUUAUUAAUAACAAUCCAUCAUUUAAUAUGAAAUUUUAAAGAUUUAGCUCAUUUACUUAAUAAGAGAAGCUGAAAGGUGAACGAAUAUAUUUUUCUUUGAGAAUCAGGUGAACGGUUUUUUCUUAACUAUAUUUUGAAUGUGAAAGUAUAUUCCAUUUUUUAAAAAACUUUACAUUCCGAUGUAGCAUUUUUAAUUAGUCACGUUUCAAUUAAGUUUUUAGCAUAAUAGAAAAUAAUUAAAAGUUUAAUAUUUUUAAUAUUAUUCAUGCGCAGGACGGUGCACUAUGUUCUGGCAGGUGUGACUGGAAUUGAUCGGAAUGAGUUGGUGCAAUUGGUACGGACCGAAAUUUUUACCAGUGUAGAAAAAGGGUGUUGGGUGUUUCACAAUAUUAUUGAAAGCAAACCAAAAAGACCAAGAACCGAUGAACCCGAGAACUAGAGUAAACUGCAGUUAAACUACAAAUCAUCUGUCAAUUAAGUCGUAUUUUCACAUUUUUUUAAACCGGAAAAACAAAAAUUACACUUCAAAUCCCUUGAGCCAUUGUUAUACUUUUUCUCUGCACUCAAUGAAAUAAAACACAACAUAAAAAAAUAAGCACNNNNNNNNNNNNNNNNNNNNNNNNNNNNNNNNNNNNNNNNNNNNNNNNNNNNNNNNNNNNNNNNNNNNNNNNNNNNNNNNNNNNNNNNNNNNNNNNNNNNNNNNNNNNNNNNNNNNNNNNNNNNNNNNNNNNNNNNNNNNNNNNNNNNNNNNNNNNNNNNNNNNNNNNNNNNNNNNNNNNNNNNNNNNNNNNNNNNNNNNNNNNNNNNNNNNNNNNNNNNNNNNNNNNNNNNNNNNNNNNNNNNNNNNNNNNNNNNNNNNNNNNGGAUCUAAUUUUAAAAAUAUUAAUAUUUCGAUAUAAAAUUGAAACAGUGCACACAAAUUAGUAUAACCGAAAUCUGUACGAAACCGACCACCUUAAUUUAAUACAUAAUUUGACAUUCAUAUAAAAUAUUAUCUUGGAAAUAUACUGAAAGAGGAAACUAAUCGUAUGUAAAUGGAUAACUUGGAAGAGAUAAUGCAGCAGGAAUCAUUAUAUUAACAGUUGCAUCUUCUCGAUGUACGGCUGCUCACUAUCUGGACUGCAUUUAUCGUUUGAUUCUUUUCUUAAUUAGCCAAACUCAUGUUAACACUGGUAUAACAGUAAUUAAUUACUUCAUGGACAAAACAUCAAUAUAUAAAUACCCCAUAUAUAAUAAGCAACAACGUAUCAAAAUACACCAAAUAAUGGGAAUUGGAGAACGCCCAUUUAUACAAACAAAUGUAAGUGGGCAAAAUCAAUACUCAUAAUAAAGACACAAAGACGACUAAAAACCUUAUUAAACUAGAUCCAGUAUGCAGCAUAACAGAAAAGGGGGUAUUUCAAGGAGUAGAACGAGAAGGUGGUGGAGAAAAGAAAGCAAUAGAGGGAACUGCAGUUGGGAUUGAGGGAAUGUUUGGCAGAGGCGGCAGUCCUCUUGGCAAUGUGGCUGGAAGUGGAGGAAGCGCCCCAGGGUUUGGGAGAUUAGGGAAAGAUGGCAAUGGUGGAAAAGAGAAAGGAAUAGGGGGAACUGCAGUUGGGAUUGUGGGGACUGAGGGAAUGCUUGGCAGAGGGGGUAGUCCUGUUGGCAAUGUGGUAGGAAGUGGAGGAAGCGGCCCAGGCCAUGAGAAUGAUGGUCGGGAUGGCGUUGGGAGAUUAGGGAAAGAUGGUAAACUUUGCGGUUGAGGCUGCUGCAGAAGGUGACGAGCUGCUACCCCAACAUCAAUGCUUGCAAAUGACAAAGCAAUCAAGAAUGCUAAAGCAAGGCAAUUGAAAGAAGCCAUUUUUGUUCAGAGAUUUCGAAACAAAUGAAGCAGAUGAAACAAAGUUCUUUAUCUGAAUAGUUGUGAGUGAGGAAAGCAACGCAUGGUAUUGAGGUUUAUAUAGGAAUUGGAGCAGUAAAUAGAAAUCCCCUGCCCCUAAACAAUGCCCAAUGCAUGCCCCCAAACCAAAAUAGCGCCACAUGUUUUUUAUUUUUUCCAUUUUAAUUGUAGUUCAUUUUUUAAAUAAAAAAUUUAUAAUGAUUUGGAUGAAUUUUUAACUUAUUAUCAACGUUUUUGUUUUUGUUUUAUUUUCUAUUAAUUUUACGUAUUCUUUAAUUAACAAAUUUAUAAUGACUUGGAAUUAAUUUAACAAUAUUUUUUUUAUAAUCGUUCUUAUAAUAAAAUUUAAAAAGAUGGGAAUGAGUCCCACAAUGACAACAUGAUCCUUAAAUUUUGGGUGGUAGCAUGCCUUUAGUCAAAGGAUCUGAUAACAUCUGCUCAGUGUUAAUGUGCUCAAUGACGACUUUAUUUUCUUUAACAUGUUUCCUUAUGACUAGAUACUUAAAGUCGAUAUGUUUACUUCGACUUUCACUUUUUUCGCUCUUAGCCAUAAAGACAGCAAUUGAAUUGUCACAAUAUAUGAAAUAAUCGAAACCUAUAAUGACUCAGCUCAAAAAACUAGAGCCUCAAACCCAAAUUAAAUUAAAUCAAAAUCAUAAUUUAUUAUAUACAAUUGCAUAAAAUUAACAUAUUUUAAGUGUCAUAGUGCAUGUACAGCCCAAAUUUAGCCCGGGGCCCAAAACCUACCCAAACCCGAGAAACCAAUACAACCCAAAAACAGACUAAAAAACCUAAGCCCAAAAACCAGCCCAAUAAGCCCAAAUCUAACCCUAGCCCAGAAACCCAAAUCAGAGACAAAAAAUAAAAUUUUCAAACCCUAGGUGCGCCGCACCUAGGGUUCUCUGCCCUGUUGGCCACCGCAUGCUAGGACCUGCUGCCACCGCCCUUGUCCCAUCGCCUCUGACGCCUAGCCACUGCCACCGCCGCCUGCAGCACCAACUCCACUAUUCAACCCCUGCAAAAUGAAAACCAAACACGCAAAGCAGAAGCAAAAACAAUGCAAAAUAGUAGAAAAAAAUAGAUAAAAAAUGUAUUGUAAAUUGGCUAUAAAAGCCUGGAUCUCAGCCUUGUAAUCUUUCUUCUUCUUUUUUCACGAACGUUAGAAAAUAAAAACAAAAAAAAAAGUUUCAAGGUGAUUAUCUUUAUUAUUUUAGAUUUCGAUUUUUUUUAUUUUAUUUUCAUUUUAUCUUCUUAUUUUUAUGCACGAAAAUAAAAAAGAAAAGGAGAAAGAAACAUACCUGAAUCGGCCCUUAGAUCCGUCGUUAUCAGCCCUUCGGCGCCGUCGGAUUCGGGUUUAGGGAAGGGCUAAGACCUUUUUUUUUUCUCUCCUUGUUUCCUCAUUCUAAGAUUUUGGUCUUUGAACGCGUUUCAACGCACUGAUCGAGAACGCCCUCUUGCAACGCCGGCCGUCAGCCACGGCGGCGCAAGCGAUGGCCCUGUUGGCCGAAUUUGGAGGGAUCGAGAGAGAGGCUAAGAGCUCUCUUCUUCUUUUUUUCUGAAAAAUGAAGUUGGAAAUGUUUUUUUUUGUUUUUUUACUAUGUAUAUAGGGUAUAAAACGAUGCCGUUUUGGACCUUAACAUCGGUAGCCAAAACGACGUCGUUUUGCCCUGACCCGUGCGGUGACCCGACCCUGGGGGGAGGAUCCGCGUGUUUUCUUAAAAAGGGAUAUUUGAGCGUGCGGUCCCUCCGCUUUUGCAACGCAUUGCAAUUUGCCCCUUUUUCCUUCUUUUCUUUUAUUUCAAUUCAGCCGCAUAAUUUUAUUUUUGUUUCAUUUUAGUCCCACGUAAAGUGAUGCAUUUUGAAGGGCGGGAUAUUUCCUUUUUGGUCCCCCUCCUUUCACGCGCAUCACAAAUUAAUCCUUUGCCUAUUUUAUUUUUGAUUUCUCCCCUGGGAUUUUGUUUUGUUUUCAAUUUAGUCCCGUUAUUAUUAUUAUUUAUUAAACUAAUUAGUUUUAUUAUUAUUAUUAUUAUUAUUAUUAUUAUUAUUAUUAUUAUUAUUGCAUUUAUUAUUAUUACCUACCUUAUUAUUAUUAUUAUUUACCCAUUUAUACCGUUUUUAGAUUUUGUUAUAUAUAUAUAUAUACAUACUUACAUAUAUAUACAUACUUAUAUAUUUUUAAUUUUUAUAUAUGUACGUACUUAUAUUUUUUUAUAUACUUUAUAAUUUAUAUAUACAUAUAUACAUACAUAUUUUUAAUAUAUUUUUAAACAUAUAUAUACAUUAUCAUUAUUUACUUGUUUAUAUAUAUAUAUAUAUUUUAAACUUUGUUGUAUUUAUACACAUAUAUUUUUAUAUUUUUAUAAUUUUUUUUAUUUUCAUUAUUGCUAUUAUUGUUUUAUUCGACAUUUAUUUAUUUAUUUACAUGUCUAUUAUUAUUAUUAUCAUUAUUUUUUUAAUGUUUUAGUUUUUAUUUGUUUAUUACUUGUUAUUGUGUAUACAUGAUUGAUUUUUUUAUAUUUGUAUUCUUAUUUAUUUAUCUUUCUGUUUUUGCCCAUAUUAUUUUUACUUACAUUAUCAUAAUCGUUAUUCCAUUACAUCAAUUUUUACCCAGAUUCGUAAAAAAGAAAAUUUUGAAAAUAAAGGCAAUACUCAGUAUUUGGGAUUUUCGAGAGGAUUGAGCCCUAACGCAUUGGGUUCCAAUUUUCUUCGUUGAAUCUAAAUAAUCGAGAAUGCUCUUUAAUCAAAAAACAUAAAUAAAAAGUUCAUUAUCGAGAAUUCAAUACGUUGUGUCCUAACGCAUUGGAUAUGACACGUUCUUUUCUCGAAAUAAGGAUUUUCUAAAAAAUAAUAAAGGCAAUAUUCAAUGUUUAGAAUUUGAGAAAUUGUGCCUUAACAUAUUGGGUUGCGAUUUUUUCAUCUGACUUAAACAAUUGAAUAUCCUUUUAAAUUUUAUUGCACGAGUUUUUUGGGCAAACUCAUUCUUGAGGAGGUAAAAUAUCAUGCCCUAACUCAUUAGGUGUGACAUUUUCUCUCUCCGAAAUGAGAGGGUCUUAACGGUAAUUUGAUUUAUACAAGUUUUUUUAAUAAAUAAUCGUAUUUUAAAUCUCUUUAAAGUUUCUAAUUCUCGACACUAAGACACUAAAUAAUCAACUACGUACCAAUCUUGGGCGUUACGAGGGUGCUAAUCCUUCCUCGCACGUAAUCGACUCCCGAACCCAUUUUUCUGAAUUUCGUGGACCAAGAUCGUUGUUUUAAUAAACUCAAAUCGUUUAUUAAAAACAACCACUUUUUAAGGUGGCCCAAUCACACCUCAUCAAAAAAGAUUUGUGGCGACUCCCAUUUUCGUUUUCAUUUUCAAAACCCAAGUCGACCCCAUUUUCACAAAAAAAUGGUGUCAACAGUGCACAUUAAAUUAAAGAUUAUGUUUGACAUUAUAGAUUGAAGCAAUAUUCAUGUGUAAAAUUUUGAGAUUUAUUUCCUUAAUUAAAGUAAUAUUUCAAAUAGAAUACUUAAACAAUCCUCCAUGUUGGCAAACUUUAUGUACAUUAGAAACGAACUAAAUAAUUAGAAUAAAUCUAAAGUAUGGCUUACAUUUAGUUUAUUCACAAUGUGACUUAAACUUUGGCCUUCAAGAUUUCACGGUCUCAAAUUAUGUCUUAAAAUUUUAAGAUCAUUUUAGCUUUGAUAAAAAAAAUCAAAAGUUUAGAAAGUUAGGAUUGUUGCUUGAGGCGUGAAUAUCCCUAGUCUUUAGGAUAUUCAUGGAUUUACUAUCUUUCAAGAUUUAAUUUGUAUCAUGCACAAUGAAAAAAUUGAAAAAAAAAUUCCCAUUUGAAUGGAAUUGAGCUAUUAGGCUCAAGCCUCGUGUGCGCAUAUAUAUUCUCUUAUUUUGAGUCUUACAAGUUUAUAAUAAACCAAAUCUAUAUAAACAUCAUUUAAUAAGUGUAUCUAAAAUAUGUUUAAUAUGUGUAAUUCUUUAAAAUACAUGAAAACUUCAAAUAUGGUUUAGGUCAUUUUCAGAUUUGUCUUAUUUUAGGUUCAAAUCAUUCGAAUUUGAGGCUAUGUUUUUCAUGUCUAAUCAUUAUUGAUCCGAAUCAUUUUAAAUUUUGAUCAGUUUAAGUUCCAAUUAUUUUGUGAUCAAAUCAUUUUAAGUUUAGAUAAAUUUGGGUCAAUUCGAAUUUGACUUAAUUACGUAAUUACCUUUUUUUAUAAUAAAUUGAGCUGAAUGAAAUUUAGAUUGGAAUUUAUUUAGUGUGCCUUUGUGUUUAAGUUGAAAUUUAAACAUCUGUAUUGGAAAUACACAUGUUAAUACAAUUUUAUGUUAAAGACAAUAAUACGACAGAGUUGAUUUGGGAGAUAAACAUGUUAAUUUUUUUAAUCCCAACCAAAAUUGUACAUAAUUCUUUUAUGUCAUAUUAAAUACAUGUAUAAAAAUUGUCAAUAAAUUAUGCCUAGCGACAACGUUAUUCAAAUCUAAUUUCAUUGUUAAUACCUAUUUCUAUUUUUCUUCUAUUGUCUUCAACUUUAAAUAUGAAGGAAUUGAAAUUUUAAGAAUUGAGAUUUCUUUUCUUUGUAUUAGUGGACGUUUGAUUUUUUUUACUAGAAUUGAUGCAUAUCUUUUCAGAUUUAUCAAUAUUUUUUAAAAUUAUUUAAGAUAUGUAUAUGAAUAUAUUACAAAUAUAAAAUGCAUGAUACUAAAUACAUUUCAAAUUUAAAAUAUUCAUUAAUAAACUUAAUAAAUAAAAAAUUAUCAUUCAAAUAAAUCCAAAAUUAUUAAUAAUAAUCCAUCAUUUAAUAUGAAAUUUUAAGGAUUUAGCUCAUUUACUUAAUAAAAGAAGCUGAAAGGUGAACGGAUAUUUUUUUAUUUGAUGAUCGGGUGAAUGGUUUUUUCUUAAUUAUAUUUUGAAUGUGAAAGUAUAUUCCAUUUUUUUUUAAAAAUUUACAUUCCGAUGUAGAAUUUUUAAUUAGUCAAAUUUCAAUUAAGUUUUUAGCAUAAUAGUAAAUUAUUAAAAGUUUAAUGUUUUUAAUAUUAUUCAUGCACAGGACGGUGCACUAUGUUCUGGCAGGUGUGACUGGAAUUGAUCGGAAUGAGUUGGUGCAAUUGGUACAGACCAAAAUUUUUAACAGUGUAGAAAAAUGGUGUUGGGUGUUUCGCAAUGUUAUUGAAACCAAACCAAACAGACCAAGAACCGAUGAACCCGAGAACUAGAAUAAACUGCAGUUAAAUUGCAAAUCAUCAGCUGAUUAAGCCGUAUUUUCAAAUUUUCUAGAUUGAAAAAACAAAAUUUCACUUCAAAUCCCUUGAGCUUCUGUUACACUUCUUCUCUUAACUCAAUGAAAUAAAACAAACCAUAAAAAGAAUAAGCACCGUUUCUUUUAUUACUUUUUCUAUUAAAAUAUUUUUUUUCUCGUGAAAAACCUGGGCUUAUAACAUUCAAUCAAAGGAAAAAAAGGACAAAUUAGGAAAGAUGAAAGAUGGGGAGAGGGUUUUAAAAUUUAAAGCCUUCAAAAUAGAUGAGUUUAGGGUUAUUAAUAUUAUUUUAUAUUGUUCAGUAAAAAAUUAAUUGUAUCGGUGGUUGAACGUGUGAGAUCAAGAAUUGAUUAUUUGAUUAAUUUGAUUAUCGAUCUAAUUUUAAAAAUAUUAAUAAUUCGAUACAAAAUUAAUAUAGUGCAGACAAAUUAAUAUAACAGAAAAUUGUACGAAACCGAGCACCUUAAUUUAAUACAUAAUUUGACAUUCAUAUAAAAUAUUAUCUUGGAAAUAUAUUGAAAGAAGAAAGUAAUCGUAUGUAAAUGGAUAACUUGGAAGAGAUGAUGAAGCAGGAAUCAUUAUAUUAAAAGUGGCAUUUUCUCGAUGUACGGCUGCUCACUAUUUUGACUGCAUUUAUCGUUUGAUUCUUUUCUUAAUUAGCCAAACUCAUGUUAACAAUGGUAUAACAGUAAGUAAUUACUUCAUGGACAGAACAUCAAUAUAUAAAUACCCCACAUAUAAUAAGCAACAACGUAUCAAAAUACACCAAAUAAUGGGAAUUGGAGAACGCCCAUUUAUACAAACAUAUAUAAGUGGGCAAAAUCAAUACUCAUAAUAAAGACACAAAGACGACUAAAAACCUUAUUAAACUAGAUCCAGUAUGCAGCAUAACAGAAAAGGGGGUAUUUCAAGGAGUAGAACGAGAAGGUGGUGGAGAAAAGAAAGGAAUAGAGGGAACUGCAGUUGGGAUUGAGGGAAUACUUGGCAGAGGCGGCAGUCCUCUUGGCAAUGUGGUAGGAAGUGGAGGAAGCGCCCCAGGGUUUGGGAGAUUAGGGAAAGAUGGCAAUGGUGGAAAAGAGAAAGGAAUAGGGGGAACUGCAGUUGGGAUUGUGGGGACUGAGGGAAUGCUUGGCAGAGGGGGUAGUCCUGUUGGCAAUGUGGUAGGAAGUGGAGGAAGCGCCCCAGGCCAUGGGAAUGAUUGUCGGGAUGGCGUUGGGAGAUUAGGGAAAGAUGGUAAACUUUGCGGUUGAGGCUGCUGCAGAAGGUGACGAGCUGCUAGCCCAACAUCAAUGCUUGCAAAUGACAAAGCAAUCAAGAAUGCUAAAGCAAGGCAAUUGAAAGAGGCCAUUUUUGUUCAGAGAUUUCGAAACAAAUGAAGCAGAUGAAACAAAGUUCUUUAUCUGAAUAG